rnacentral:snRNA from 1 species
ACCUUUGUGCAGUGACUGUGUCAUAGCCAGCGAGUUCUAUCUGAGGUUGAUUAUUGCUAGUUGGAAACUUUUCCAAAUGCCCCACUAUGACAACUUGCAAUAUAUUUGGCUUUGGCAAUUUGACAGUCUCUACAGAGA